UACGAAGGGGGCUAGCGUUGCUCGGAAUCACUGGGCGUAAAGGGUGCGUAGGCGGGUCUUUAAGUCAGAGGUGAAAUCCCGGGGCUCAACCCCGGAACUGCCUUUGAUACUGGAAAGCUUGAGUUCGGGAGAGGUGAGUGGAACUGCGAGUGUAGAGGUGAAAUUCGUAGAUAUUCGCAAGAACACCAGUGGCGAAGGCGGCUCACUGGCCCGAUACUGACGCUGAGGUGCG
rnacentral:rRNA from 1 species